UUGAUAUAACCUACCCCAUUAUCCGCCCGGGAACUACGAGCAUUAGCUUAAAACCCAAAGGACUUGGCGGUGCUUUAGACCCACCUAGAGGAGCCUGUCCUAGAACCGAUACCCCCCGUUCAACCUCACCUCCUCUUGUUUUUCCCGUCUAUAUACCGCCGUCGUCAGCUGACCCUGUGAAGGACUAAUAGUAAGCAGAGUUGAUAAAACCCAGGACGUCAGGUCGAGGUGUAGCGUAUGAGGAGGGAAGAGAUGGGCUACAUUCUCUGCCCCAGAGAAACACGAAUGUACUAAUACUGAAAUGUAUAACUGAAGGAGGAUUUAGAAGUAAGUGGAAAACAGAGUGUCCC
rnacentral:rRNA from 1 species